CUCUCCGCCCGCCUCAUCCUCCCAAAGUGCUGGGAUUACAGGCGUGAGCCACCGCACCCGGCCGAGGACUAUUUUUUGUAGCGGGGAAUCUACUAAACAGUCUGAAGUACACAGCACCAUGAACCGGCAUGGCUUUUGCCUAGAAUGCUCGUCCACCAAGACUUUACCUGUGCACCCCUGAAGACCCGCUGAAAUUCCAGCCCAGCUCUGAAGGCUUCCCAUGACCAGAGGACACACCAAUCCAGCCUUACACUGUGAUUAUUCCUGGUCUCCUACCACAGCCGCCUUUGCCUACCUCUAGGCAGAUUGAGCCAAGCAGGAAUCAGGCCUGACCACCUGAGUAAGAUUUAGAAACUGAGCUUUAAGCUAAAAGCCUCAAAACCAAAGGUGGUUCCUCAGAGACUAUGAUUUUCUAAUUCGUCGUUUUUGAAAUCAGGCUCAAGAACCCGGGAUGAGGAGGAAAAACACGAAGCUGAUUUCUGGAGCAAUUUGGCAUGUUGGAGAGAGAUGGCCCGUUCUUCUUACAGACGAAGAGACUGAGGCCCAAAAGCAGGGAGAGGCGAAAUCAGCGCCCAGGCCUCCUGCCUCUCAGCCUGGGGCCCCUUCACUGCCUUCUUUAAACCUGACGACAAAAGCAAGGCAGGUGGAAUGCGCUGGUAUCAAGGCUCCCUUCACAUCUCCUGGUACAUCCUUUUCCUUUCACCACAACGUGCUUGUCUUCAGUGCACCCUGCUUCAGUGUUCUCAAAUGAGACCUGGAGAGCAAGAGCUAACAUAUUGGGAAUACUACAAUAUUCUACAUGAUAUGCUUCUCAUUUUCACAUAGAAAUGAGAAAACUCUUUCAAUCCCUGACAAUGGCACGGGACAAUCAUAUCUUGAUUGUCAUGGUGAGGAGGUCUACGCUCAGAGGAGGACCUUGUCUAAGAUCACACAGCUAGUAAGUGGCAGAGGCAGGAUUCGAACUCAGAUCUGUCUGAGUCAAAGUCAAAUUUCUUUCCACAACAUUAAACUGCCUCCUAAGUACAUAGAACUGUUAGCAAAGAAGAGCAAUUGUCCCCAGUUUAUAGCUUGAGAAAAUGGAGUCUGCAAGUCUCAGAGAAGAAUAAAGUCCUAUAGUUUCUAAUCAACAAAACUGUGACUAAAAUUCCAACCUGUGUUAAGUGAAAUGGUAGGUACGGGAGAACUCCAAGGUAUGGCCCCACCCUCAAGAGACCAGCCAUCCAUUGAGACCUGUGACUGCUACUGGUGUCUCAACAGGGAAUGGUUCCGAAUGAGUGCGUUGGUGAGGCACAGGUUGGGUGGUAUAAAUAAUGAAGGCUGAAGAGUCUGAGGUGGUGAUCAGUGCUGAGUCCAGACUGCUGCCCUGUCUGCAUAUCUGCUAAAAUGGUCUUUGCUGGAGGCCAUGGAUCCUCUUACAUUAUUUAUCAGAAUCUCUUAUCAUCUGGAAAUAAGAAAACCCAAAUCAAUUGUUGACAAACAUUUUGCAGUAAUUGCAUCUCCUUACUAAGGGCUGGACUAUCUCUCUUUGAAGAAUGAAGCUGGAGAGUGUAAUUGCUGGUCAGUUCUUCUCCUCACAAUGACCUGAGUAAAGACUCUGAGGCCAGGGAGAGUGGGAGCCUCUCCCCUCAAUGUUACCUCCAAAAGGAACAGGGGAUAAAUACCCUUGUAAGACAGUUGGCCUCAUUUUGUGGAUGUGAAUUCAAUGGCUCACAGCUCCAUUCUACUCAUCCUGGCUCCGGCUUAAGUUUUAAAAACUAAUUCUCUCUGCAUUAAUCUGAAAAGAUCCUUCAAACAAAAGCUCAACAUCUGAGUCUAUUUACCGAGUGUGCAGCUGUGUCAAUUGGCCAAGACAAAGCGAAGGCUUCCUGGUCAGCCCACAAUGGGCGGCAGGUAGUCUUGCAAACAGAGAAACACAAGGCAGGGGCCUUUCACGAGUCAGCAAACCUCCUUCCAACAAGGAAGAGCUGGAGCAGAGGGGUCAGGAGGAUGGAGUGCCGCCCCACCCCCACUCUCACCAGCACACAAGUGGGACUGAAAGGUAUCCACGAGAGACCUAGAAUCGUCCAAGUCACAGAGACAGAAAGUCAAAUUCAUGGAGACCAAAGGGAGGAGGCAUGAGUUUCCUGGGCGCAGAGUUUCAGUCUGGGAAGAUGAAAGAAUUCUGGAGACGGAUGGUGGUGAUGGUUGUACAACAAUGUGAAUGUACUUCAUGCCACUGAACUCUAUACUUCAAAUGGCUAAAUCGGCAGAGUUGAGAACCACUGAAUUCUGUUCUGAAAACAUCAGCAAGACCUUUCAUGGAUAUUAUAGAUGGAAAGAAUCCCAAGAGACCAGUGAAGCAAGAAAUUAUCAAAGCUGCGGUAUUUACGAAGUCACUUUGUGCCAGUGCCCCAGCAAGCUGCCACCAUGGCUGCCAAGCCCUGUCACCCUUGCUGAUCAGUACAGAGAGGGGCUCGCUGCGCUGGGUAGAGGAAGCAGGAAGUUUGCUGAACUCAGACGGAAGAAAAAGGAUUCCUCUGGAGAAUCCCAGCAGGUUUCUGAUUGGACAUGGGUCCAUGUCCUUGUGAAGUCUCCUCCUCCUGAACCUGCCCUGCUCUGUGACUUGCUUUUGACCACCAGCAUGCUGCAGAAGUGAUGCCGUGUGACUUCUGAGUGGGUCAUAGGAAGCCUUGCAGUGUGGCCUGGGUCUUCAGGAAUGCUUGUUUGAGGAAAACCACUGUCAUGUAAGAAGUAUGGCUACCCUGAGACUGUCAUGGUGUGAGGACUCCUAAAUGAGUCACAUGUGGAUGGCCACCUAUUCAGGCCUCAGUUCUUCCAGCCAUUGCGACUGUGGCCCACGCAUGUGGGGGAAGAGGCCAUUUUUCACGCCCAUCCCAGUUGAGUCUUUAGAUGAUCCCUUCCUGGGCCUCCAGCUGACUGUAACCAGACUCCAGGCAGGAACCACAUAGGAACUGAACCCAGUCAACCCACAGGCUGGGGAGGAUGAUAGUCCAUUGUUGUAUAAAGCCACUGCAUUUGGAAUGGUCUGUUGUAUACUACCUAAUCAGAACAAGACUCAAUCCUUUCUUCAUAGCUGGUAGUCUUAAGCAUUUAUUAAUUCAUAUUUUAGUCACAUUAUGAAUUUUCUAUCACAAUAAGCAUUUAUUGAGCACUUUUUAUAGAGGGACUAUGCUAGGCUUGAAGAAUAAAAGACACAUAGGACACGGCCCUGCUUAUGUUCAGGUAGCUGUGGUCUAAACGAGGACGCACACAUAAGGUGAAGACCCCAUGAGAUGGAAUACACGGGGAUAACAAGCCUCACAGUGGACUGGUCGCUUUACCAGGGGUGAGGCGAUUCUGCCUAUAAGGUAGGGAAGGACUUUCUGAAAGGGUGACACUGAGUUCCACCUUGAAAAAUGCCUGAGAAUUCACCCAUAGACACAGUGGAAGAGGGGUGUUCCGAGGAAGGGAGAUCAAUGUGCAGAGAGACAGAAAUCCCGGUUCGCUUAUUCCCAACAAGGCAGAGAACAAACCUCUCCCAGUGAUGCCCUCCCUUGUUCCCGUCCCCAAUCUUUUGAUAAUAGUGGGAAGGGUUUCAAAGUGAGGGUUAAAAAUGGGCUGGUUUUGCCACCCCUUAGUAAGUCUUGGGCAGGAUUCUCAACUCUUGACACUCAUUAAAAUCACCUGGGAAGCUUUUGCAAAACUCCAGCAUGGUACAACUACUUUAGAAACUGGUGUUAUCCAUUAAAACUAAACAUUUGCUUAUCUUAGCAAUUCCACUCCUAGGUUUAUAGAGUAAACAGAAACACAUACGUGCCUGUGUCAAAAAACAUGUAUAGGCAUGUUCAAGACCACACUGUUUGGCCAAGUGCCCUAGUUCAUGCCUGUAAUCCCAGCAUCUUGGGAGGCCAAGGCGGGAGUAUUGCUUGAGGCCAGGAGUUUGA
rnacentral:lncRNA from 1 species